GUCUGGGGUCCCCUCAUGGUGCCGUGCGGGGUCUUUGGGUCCCCUCGUGGCGUAUUGUGGGGGUCUGGGGUCCCCUCAUGGUGCCGUGCGGGGUCUUUGGGUCCCCUCAUGGUGUAUUGUGGGGGUCUGGGGUCCCCUCAUGGUGCUGUGCGGGGUCUUUGGGUUCCCUCAUGGCGUUAUGUAGGGGCUCGGGGUGCCCUCUUGGCAUUAUGUGGGGGUUUAGAGUCCCCUCGUGGUGCCAUGCGGGCGUGGGGGCCCCUCAGGGUGCUGUGCGGGGUCUUUGGGUCCCCUCAUGGCGUAUUGUGGGGGUCUGGGGUCCCCUCAUGGUGCCGUGCGGGGUCUUUGGGUCCCCUCAUGGCGUAUUGUGGGGGUCUGGGGUCCCCUCAUGGUGCUGUGCGGGGUCUUUGGGUCCCCUCAUGGCAUUAUGUAGGGGUUUGGGGUGCCCCCUUGGCAUUAUGUGGGGGUUUACGGUCCCCUCAUGGUGCCAUGCAGGGUCUUUGGGUCCCCUCGUGGCAUUAUGUAGGGGUUUGGGGUGCCCCCUUGGCAUUAAAUGGGGGUUUAGAGUCCCCUCAUGGCAUUAUGUAGGGGUUUGGGGUGCCCCCUUGGCAUUAUGUGGGGGUUUAGAGUCCCCUCAUGGUGCUAUACAGGGUUUUUGGGUCCCCUCAUGGUGUUAUGUGGGGUCUUUGGGUCCCCUCAUGGCAUUAUGUAGGGGCUUGGGGUCCCCUCUUGGUGCCAUGUGGGGUCUUUGAAUCCCCUCAUGCCAUUACACUGGGGUUUUUCGAUCCCUCGUGGUGCCAUGUGGGGUCUUCGGGUCCCUCCUGCAUGGUGUGGGGUCUUUGGGUCUGUCAUGAAAAUUUGCAGCUGAGUGAGGUCAGCAUGGGUCAGCUUGCUAAUGUUCGUGACAGGUUCCUGCUUGCCAUAUCUCCCUGCCCCUUGUCCCACCCAUGUUCUCCACUGGUGCUUGAUGCUGGUUUUCCACCGGCGCAAACGUGCUGAGCAGGGUGGAGCUUUCCUCGCUGGUGCUGGGGUUAGGUCAGGAUCAGGCCCAAAGCUUUGUGGGUGUGAAGCUGGCAAGAGAGAUGAAAGCAUGUCUGCUGGAACUGGCACAAACUGUUUCCCUGGCCUCAGCAGGUUUUGCAACUGUUUUUAUAGCAAACCCCCAGUCCCAUGGGGGGCAGCAACUUCACGGGGGUAAGAUAUGCCCCCGGCGCUGCAGUCCUGAGCAUCCUCUUGGUAUCCACAGCUUUGCAGCUCCUGGAAAACUCAAGGAAAAGCGAUUGUCCCUCUCCAAAUAACCCUUGUUCCCUCGAUUCUCCCUAGACUCAACAACAGAGGUAGCAGGCUGUUCGCAAAUGAGCUGUCACCGAAACAGAGCGGUGGUCACUGCAUUUUCACUGCCCCUCAGCAGUUUUAAUGCUUGAAGCAGGAGACAAGCUCCUUCUCUGUGCUGGAGAGCUCAAGGCCAGCACUCCCUACAGCUGCCAGGCAAUGACAUCUCAGAGCUGGUCUCAUGAUUCCUGCUAAUGCCACAAAGAACCCUUAUUGUAUUAGCAUCUCGACGCAGCGUUAGAUUAAUCCCUCCAGCCUGUGUCAUACAGGCUGUCCAGAGAGCCUUGCUCCAGCGCCGCGCCAGCCAGCAUAUGCCUGGGAAGUCACCGAGAUCUUUUCAGCUGAACAUAUGCUGGCCUGGAGCAAUUCUGCAUUAUCCUCGUGACUUUCGCUUUUGUUGACACGGGAAGAAAGUCACUGGUGAUCCAUCACUGGGACACGGCGUGAGGCGAUCGGCUCAACCCGCAAACGCCGGCUGACAUUAGGGAACUGAAAUGCGAAUUCCAGCACGGCCACAGAGCUGAUGGCAAACAGCAUUAGCAGAUAUGGAGUGGUGGGGAUGGCAGGUGCGUGUUUGCUUCACCCGUGGGCUCCUAAACAAGGUCGGCAGUAAUUCCCUUCUUCCCACGCUCUGCAACAGAUUAUCUGGAAUAAUGCAAAUGAAACGUUUAAUAUUCGUCUGUAGCUCAAGGAAGGGGAGUGAUUUCUGAUGCCAGAUUAGAAGCCAGACAUGGGCCUGCCUGCUAGCAAGCAGAGCUGUCACGCUGAGUUAUUUCAUAAGGCAAGCGGUUACGCUGCCAGAUGACGACAGCCUGUGCAUUAGAAUUAUCAUAACAAACUGCCUGAUGGAAGAGGGCCUGUGACCCUCAGUGCGCUGCGUAACGCAACAGGGAUCGCGUCAUCCCCCCUGAAACGCGGCCGUUUUGGGGCAGAGGCAAAGGCAAACCCCUCCUUGCCCUCCCAAGCUUCAGCAGCCAGAAAGAAGCAGUUCCAAAUUCUUUUUAAAAAACCCAGCUUACUAGAUUGCGCCGCGUGUUUUGCAUAUUUAAACUACUGACUGAAUUAUUUAGACACGUUGCAAGGGUACCCUGCAGAUAGUCCAGCUGAGCAGGGUCCAGAAACGCUGGCAGGAACAAGCACCCAGCCAGUGCCGGGCAGGCAGUAAACUCUCCGUGGCAGGCACUGCCUGUUGAGGGUGUCUGUGGCACCCAGUGCCUUCCAGCACCCUCAGCAGGGACCUUGGAAAGCUGCCUUGAAAAACUACCUUGAAAAGGUAAGAGAGUGCUAACGGCAAAGCGUGGUGAGCAGAAGGGUCCGCACAGCAUCGCUGAUAGUGGGAUUUCUGUGGCUGGGUCUGUGAAAAGCCAUAAAGCUGAGAGCGUUACCCUUGGCCUUAGUUUUCUGAUGUCUUAAAAUAACCUGGCUGUGCUUUUUAUCUUUUAUUUGUCUGAAUUUAUUGCUUCCUUGGAAACAACAUGUGACCUCACUUCUGAUGACUUGCUUCUGACUGGGAAAGCAAUGGAGCCAGGGUGAAGGACUCCCAUGCGUGUGGGGAGAAGGCUGGAAAUCCCCCUGCACCUGAUGGUCUCGGCAAGACAUUGCACCAUCCGCCCCAGGCGAGGCUCUGAGUGAAAUGAGAGUGCACCAAGCACAGGACACAGCCCUGGAAACAGCAUCUCGUCCAGCUGCAGCACUCGAGCUCCACCAGGCCCGACGCUGUAAAACUGGAAUUACGUUUUAUUUUUUUUCCCCAGUUGCAAUAGAAUUAGGCUUUUUUCCCAAAUGUCAUGUGUAAAUAAAGGAAAUCAGAUUGUUUCCAA